rnacentral:rRNA from 1 species
GACGAACGCUGGCGGCGUGCUUAACACAUGCAAGUCGAACGGAAAGGCCCUGCUUUUGUGGGGUGCUCGAGUGGCGAACGGGUGAGUAACACGUGAGUAACCUGCCCUUGACUUUGGGAUAACUUCAGGAAACUGGGGCUAAUACCGGAUAGGAGCUCCUGCUGCAUGGUGGGGGUUAGAAAGUUUCGGCGGUUGGGGAUGGACUCGCGGCUGAUCAGCUUGUUGGUGGGGGAGUGGCUUACCAAGGCUUUGACGGGUAGCCGGCCUGGGAGGGUGACCGGCCACAUUGGGACUGAGGUACGGCCCAGACUCCUACGGGAGGCAGCAGUGGGGAAUAUUGCACAAUGGGCGGAAGCCUGAUGCAGCAACGCCGCGUGCGGGAUGACGGCCUUCGGGUUGUAAACCGCUUUCGCCUGUGACGAAGCGUGAGUGACGGUAAUGGGUAAAGAAGCACCGGCUAACUACGUG